AUGAAGGCACAGGCACAUACAACACUGACCUCUUUUCAAUUUUUGCUGUUUGUUGUGUUUUAUUUUUGCUACAGAAAAAAAAUAUAUCCUGGAUACUGUUGCUGUUUCUUUUUAUCACUGGCACUGAACUCAGAGAGAAGUAAUUCUAAAUAGGUAACAGCUGAUCCCAACUGGAAGAUGACUGUUUUCUGCCUUCAAAAAUAAUUUCCUGGUGAGUUAACAAAAGUCUUGAUUUAAAUAGAAUAAAUUAGAAAACAACACC
rnacentral:lncRNA from 1 species